UUACAGAGCUCAAAAGCAAAAUGGGCUAAUAGUUUGAGCAAAAUUAUAAUAUUAACAUUUAAUAAACUAAAAUAUUGCAUUUUAUGAUUUAGCAUUUGUUUGAAAUGUAUGAUGCUAUCAUGCAAUGAAAUAUUUCGUACUUUUUCAGAUGUGAAAGAACAGCAUGUGUAGCCAAUGAAAAUGCAGCAUUCAAAGUAUUAAUGUGUGGACACUCAUUUCAUAUAGCUGCAUGUCCAACCAAUGUCGUUUUGUCAAAAGAACAUAAACAGAAGAAUACAAGACCUCUGAAACAUCAAGGGAAGAAACUCUAUAAAACAGCUGAGGAAAUCCAUAAACACGUUGCGAUGCAACUAAAUGCCCCAUUGUUGUGCGCUCAGAUAGAAACUACCAAGGACUUAAUGGUCAAGGGGAAACCCACAAGGGGAAAUGACAAGCAUUAUGGUUGUAAGAUGCAACAGACAUGAUACCCAUAAUCCCCGGUUAAAGUUGCCAGCUGUGCUGAGUUCAAAGGCAGGAUCAGUUUCAGUGCGUGUGAAAAGAGUCUGGUCUGUCACAUCAGUCAUUGCAGAGAUGUGGAGAUACAACCAAGCAUGGACUUAGAGCAAAAAUGACAUUCAUUGCUGUUUCCUCCUCCAACAGUGAGGAUUUCCUUUUAAUUCAAGAGCUAGAGGGAGAAACAGCAAUGACAAAAGAAAUUGCCAUAAUUCUUUUUCUUAUUACAACCGAGGAAGGCAUAUCAAGUGAAUUGCCAAUGACUAUACAUGCCACAACAAGAGAAGACAGGAUACUCA